GAUGAACGCUGGCGGCGUGCCUAAUACAUGCAAGUCGAGCGAACGGACGAGAAGCUUGCUUCUCUGAUGUUAGCGGCGGACGGGUGAGUAACACGUGGAUAACCUACCUAUAAGACUGGGAUAACUUCGGGAAACCGGAGCUAAUACCGGAUAAUAUUUUGAACCGCAUGGUUCAAAAGUGAAAGACGGUCUUGCUGUCACUUAUAGAUGGAUCCGCGCUGCAUUAGCUAGUUGGUAAGGUAACGGCUUACCAAGGCAACGAUGCAUAGCCGACCUGAGAGGGUGAUCGGCCACACUGGAACUGAGACACGGUCCAGACUCCUACGGGAGGCAGCAGUAGGGAAUCUUCCGCAAUGGGCGAAAGCCUGACGGAGCAACGCCGCGUGAGCGAUGAAGGUCUUCGGAUCGUAAAACUCUGUUAUUAGGGAAGAACAUAUGUGUAAGUAACUGUGCACAUCUUGACGGUACCUAAUCAGAAAGCCACGGCUAACUACGUGCCAGCAGCCGCGGUAAUACGUAGGUGGCAAGCGUUAUCCGGAAUUAUUGGGCGUAAAGCGCGCGUAGGCGGUUUUUUAAGUCUGAUGUGAAAGCCCACGGCUCAACCGUGGAGGGUCAUUGGAAACUGGAAAACUUGAGUGCAGAAGAGGAAAGUGGAAUUCCAUGUGUAGCGGUGAAAUGCGCAGAGAUAUGGAGGAACACCAGUGGCGAAGGCGACUUUCUGGUCUGUAACUGACGCUGAUGUGCGAAAGCGUGGGGAUCAAACAGGAUUAGAUACCCUGGUAGUCCACGCCGUAAACGAUGAGUGCUAAGUGUUAGGGGGUUUCCGCCCCUUAGUGCUGCAGCUAACGCAUUAAGCACUCCGCCUGGGGAGUACGACCGCAAGGUUGAAACUCAAAGGAAUUGACGGGGACCCGCACAAGCGGUGGAGCAUGUGGUUUAAUUCGAAGCAACGCGAAGAACCUUACCAAAUCUUGACAUCCUUUGACAACUCUAGAGAUAGAGCUUUCCCCUUCGGGGGACAAAGUGACAGGUGGUGCAUGGUUGUCGUCAGCUCGUGUCGUGAGAUGUUGGGUUAAGUCCCGCAACGAGCGCAACCCUUAAGCUUAGUUGCCAUCAUUAAGUUGGGCACUCUAAGUUGACUGCCGGUGACAAACCGGAGGAAGGUGGGGAUGACGUCAAAUCAUCAUGCCCCUUAUGAUUUGGGCUACACACGUGCUACAAUGGACAAUACAAAGGGCAGCGAAACCGCGAGGUCAAGCAAAUCCCAUAAAGUUGUUCUCAGUUCGGAUUGUAGUCUGCAACUCGACUACAUGAAGCUGGAAUCGCUAGUAAUCGUAGAUCAGCAUGCUACGGUGAAUACGUUCCCGGGUCU
rnacentral:rRNA from 1 species